rnacentral:rRNA from 1 species
UACAGAGGGUGCUAGCGUUAAUCGGAUUUACUGGGCGUAAAGCGUGUGUAGGCGGCUCGUUAAGUCGGGUGUGAAAUCCCUGGGCUCAACCCGGGAAUUGCAUUCAAUACUGGCGAGCUAGAGUACUGCAGGGGAGACUGGAAUUCCUGGUGUAGCGGUGGAAUGCGCAGAUAUCAGGAGGAACACCGAUGGCGAAGGCAGGUCUCUGGGCAUUAACUGACGCUGAGGAGCGAAAGCAUGGGGAGCGAACAGG